ACCUUUUAUUGGUUCAUAAACAUGACUGGGAAUCCACAUGCUUAUGUAACAUGUGCCUCCCACAAACCUUGUUUCAAUGUUGUUAUAAUAUCUGUCUAACA